GGGGCCUUAGCUCAGUCGGUUAGAGCAGUGGACUCAUAAUCCAACGGUCGGAGGUUCGAUCCCUCCAGGCCCCA
rnacentral:tRNA from 1 species